rfam:Eucalyptus grandis cultivar BRASTZ1 unplaced genomic scaffold scaffold_3, whole genome shotgun sequence.
AGAGGGUGUUGAAUGUAGCCAAGAAUGACUUGCCGGUUUUCCUUCUUUUUUGAAACGAUAAGGUAGCCGGCAAGCUGUUCUUGGCUACAUUUGUCUCUCU